UAGAGUUCUUCCUGCAUUUUAUUGAUCAAGUUGAACGGAUAAACUCUGGGACACCUAAUUUUGAUCCAUCAAGGAGCUUCAAGUUUGGUAUUGAAGAACGCCUCCAAUGUUCCUCGGGCAAAGUCACUUACAACAGAAGGAAUGAUUAUAUUCUGUCUCUUAAUAUUCCUUUGGAGAGGGCUAUAAAUAAAAAAGAGCUAGCAGAAUUUCAAAAUUUGAAGGCUGAGAGAGCUGCAGGAGGAAAAGAACUGUCUGCUGAUGAAAUUGUUCGCCCUAGAGUAUCAUUGAAGGAUUGCCUAGAUUGCUUUUCAGCUCCUGAGGAGGUGCAUGAUUUCUACAGCACAGCUUUAACAGCUA
rnacentral:misc_RNA from 1 species